rnacentral:rRNA from 1 species
AUUGAACGCUGGCGGCAGGCCUAACACAUGCAAGUCGAACGGUAACAGGAAGCAGCUUGCUGCUUUGCUGACGAGUGGCGGACGGGUGAGUAAUGUCUGGGAAACUGCCUGAUGGAGGGGGAUAACUACUGGAAACGGUAGCUAAUACCGCAUAACGUCGCAAGACCAAAGAGGGGGACCUUCGGGCCUCUUGCCAUCGGAUGUGCCCAGAUGGGAUUAGCUAGUAGGUGGGGUAACGGCUCACCUAGGCGACGAUCCCUAGCUGGUCUGAGAGGAUGACCAGCCACACGGGAAAUGAGACACGGGCAAGAUCCCUAGGGGGGGCAGGAGGGGGGAAUUUUGACAAAGGGGCGAAAGCCUGAUGCAGCCAGGCCGGGGGUAUGAAGAAGGCUUUCGGGUUGUAAAGUACUUUAAGGGGGGAGGAAGGGAGUAAAGUUAAUACCUUUGCUCAUGGGCGUUACCCGAAGAAGAAGCCCCGGCUACCCCCGG